rnacentral:rRNA from 1 species
GUGUCAGCCGCCGCGGUAACACGUAGGGACCAAGCGUUGUCCGGAUUUAUUGGGCGUAAAGAGCUCGUAGGCGGUUCGGUAAGUCGGGUGUGAAAACUCUGGGCUCAACUCGGAGAGGCCACCCGAUACUGCCGUGACUUGAGUCCGGUAGGGGAGCACGGAAUUCCUGGUGUAGCGGUGAAAUGCGCAGAUAUCAGGAGGAACACCGGUGGCGAAGGCGGUGCUCUGGGCCGGUACUGACGCUGAGGAGCGAAAGCGUGGGUAGCAAACAGGAUUAGAAACCCUCGUAGUCC